rfam:Desulfuribacillus alkaliarsenatis strain AHT28 DSM-24608_Contig_9_85X, whole genome shotgun sequence.
AAUGACAAGAAGGAGCAUCCGCUUCUCACCUGAUUGACGCAAGUGUUGACGGGUAUAACUACAACCGAUUGAGUGUAUACAAUACCUAUGGUUAGAGUUAGUGCGGAUGAUUUCAUUCGCACUUUUUUAUUUGU